ACAACUCUGCUGCAGGAGGAAGAAGAAGAAGAAGAAGAACCCGGAAGUGUGGAGCCGCUGAUCCGCAGCGGAUCAUCAUCAGACUGAGCUCAGACUCCAUUCACAAAUCUGCUGAUUUAAAGACGCUUGAUUUUUAACGACGCAGCCUGACGUCACGGACAGGUGACGGCUCCCUGACACGUCAUCACGUACCAAGGAGCUUCUCCUCCAACAUGGCCGACCUCUGGCAGAAUGCCAUGGAUCACGCUGUCGCUGCUGCUCGGAGAGCUGGAGAGGUCAGAGGUCACUGUGUGUGUGUGUGUGUGUGUAUGUAAUAGGGCUGGGUUAAAAUAAUCGAUUCAUCCGAUUCAAAUCGAUCUUCACUGGAAUGACCUGAUAUUGAUUAAUAAAGUCCGAGAUCGAUCUUUUUUCCCAUCGGUGUGUGAAGCUUUAACCCCGUGAAUCUCACCGUAGUAAACGAGCCGCGGUGCUAAGUUAUGAACAACUGUAGGCUUAAGAAGCUCCAAAGUUACUGCCUCUUUUAUCUGUAGCUGUUAGCUGUUAGCUAUUAGCUAUUAACUAGCUGUUAGCUAUUAGGUGUUAGCUAUUAGCUGUUAGCUAUUAACUAGCUGUUAGCUAUUAGGUGUUAGCUGUUAGCUAUUAGCUGUUAGCUAUUAGGUGUUAGCUGUUAGCUGUUAGGUGUUAGCUAUUAGCUGUUAGCUAUUAGGUGUUAGCUGUUAGGUGUUAGCUAUUAGCUAUUAGGUGUUAGCUGUUAGGUGUUAGCUGUUAGCUAUUAGCUGUUAGCUAUUAGGUGUUAGCUGUUAGCUCACUGUUUUUAUGUGUUGAUGUAAUUUAUUAUCGUGCUGCAGCAGCUGCUCCUGCUGUGAGGCUGCUGCGACACUUUUACACACAAAUGUAACAGAUGUAGCUAGGGCACGUAUGAGGACCGACACUGGGACUGGUUUUCAGCAUUUAUUUUGGUCUGCAGAAGACACAAAGCACAUAAUUUGCCCUCUGUUCCACUGUCUGCACCUCAGCUCCCUCUGCAAUGCGAAACAGCACUGUGUGAGCUCAUUUGUCUUUUAACAAUAUGUAUAAAUGCAAUAAAAUUACAUUUAAAUAUGUAAUUAAUAUAACAUACAAAUUGCUUAUUAAAUUAUUUGCAAAGUCAUACCAAACACUGCUGAAAAACAUAAAUUUCAAUAUGAAUUAUAUUAACAAAUCACCACAAAACAUUUAACACAGUAUAUUCAUGAAACAAACAGUGACACCUGGUGGACAGAGUAAAAAGGCACACAUAGAGGGGGAACUAAACAGAAAUAACGGAAAAUACAACAUAAAUCAAAUAAAAACAGACCCGCAGAAGACACAAGCACAUAAUUUGCCCUCUGUUCCACUGUCUGCACCUCAGCUCCUAAACAACAGAUUUUUAACAAUGAAUAAGGUGGAAAAUCUCCUGCUCUAAAUGAAGACAAGACUUGUGGCGGUACGCUGUAUUGCAAAUCGCGCCCGAAAAGUUAUAUAAAAACACCAUCCAAACUCCUAAUAACACUGUUCAAAUCAGCUCAAAACGGCUGGAUAACAUCAUAUUAACAACAGUUAA